GGCAAAGCCGCGAGGCAGAGCAAAUCUCAAAAAGCCGUCCCAGUUCGGAUUGCAGGCUGCAACCCGCCUGCAUGAAGUUGGAAUCGCUAGUAAUCGCGGAUCAGCAUGCCGCGGUGAAUACGUUCCCGGGCCUUGUACACACCGCCCGUCACACCAUGGGAGUCAGUAACGCCCGAAGUCAGUGACCUAACCGAAAGGGAGGAGCUGCCGAAGGCGGGACGGAUGACUGGGGUGAAGUCGUAACAAGGUACC
rnacentral:rRNA from 1 species